rnacentral:rRNA from 1 species
ACAAUGUUCUUAAAGUUUGACCUCAAAUCAGGUAGGAGUACCCGCUGAACUUAAGCAUAUCAAUAAGCGGAGGAAAAGAAACCAACCGGGAUUGCCUUAGUAACGGCGAGUGAAGCGGCAAAAGCUCAAAUUUGAAAUCUGGUACCUUCGGUGCCCGAGUUGUAAUUUGGAGAGGGCAACUUUGGGGCCGUUCCUUGUCUAUGUUCCUUGGAACAGGACGUCAUAGAGGGUGAGAAUCCCGUGUGGCGAGGAGUGCGGUUCUAUGUAAAGUGCCUUCGAAGAGUCGAGUUGUUUGGGAAUGCAGCUCUAAGUGGGUGGUAAAUUCCAUCUAAAGCUAAAUAUUGGCGAGAGACCGAUAGCGAACAAGUACAGUGAUGGAAAGAUGAAAAGAACUUUGAAAAGAGAGUGAAAAAGUACGUGAAAUUGUUGAAAGGGAAGGGCAUUUGAUCAGACAUGGUGUUUUGUGCCCUCUGCUCCUUGUGGGUAGGGGAAUCUCGCAUUUCACUGGGCCAGCAUCAGUUUUGGUGGCAGGAUAAAUCCGUAGGAAUGUAACUUGCUUCGGGAAGUAUUAUAGCCUGCGGGAAUACUGCCAGCUGGGACUGAGGACUGCGACGUAAGUCAAGGAUGC